CCUCCACGACUCGGCCGCGUCGACGUUUGAUCCUGGCUCAGGAUGAACGCUGGCGGCGUGCUUAACGCAUGCAAGUCGAACGAUGAAGCCCAGCUUGCUGGGUGGAUUAGUGGCGAACGGGUGAGUAACACGUGAGUAACCUGCCCUUAACUCUGGGAUAAGCCUGGGAAACUGGGUCUAAUACCGGAUAGGAGCGUCCACCGCAUGGUGGGUGUUGGAAAGAUUUAUCGGUUUUGGAUGGACUCGCGGCCUAUCAGCUUGUUGGUGGGGUAAUGGCCUACCAAGGCGACGACGGGUAGCCGGCCUGAGAGGGUGACCGGCCACACUGGGACUGAGACACGGCCCAGACUCCUACGGGAGGCAGCAGUGGGGAAUAUUGCACAAUGGGCGAAAGCCUGAUGCAGCGACGCCGCGUGCGGGAUGAUGGCCUUCGGGUUGUAAACCGCUUUCAGUAGGGACGAAGCUUUUGUGACGGUACCUA
rnacentral:rRNA from 1 species